CUCUUGUAGGCACCCCUCCCCAGGGGCCCCGAGUCUGCCCUCAAUUAAUCUUUCCAACUUGUUUUUUCUCCCCCAAGAACUGGCUAUCACUGUUUUGGUUUUUGUUGGUUUUCUCUCUGAGCUUUCCUGUGCAUUGUUCCCUACAGCCAUUAGGACGGGACAGCAGAGGCAGCGAGCGUGAGGGGGUAGAAAGAACAGUAUCCAGGGUGUCAGAGCAGAUAGGUCCCAGGCCCUGCCCAUCUUUUACCAGACGUUGGCCUGGCUGCUCUCCCAGGACCUGGAGGAAGGAGCCGUGGUUGCCCCCCGAUCGUGCCUGGAAGGCAUCUGCUCUGAGUUCCGUAACCCGAAGAGAAACAGCCGGACACUGCUUGCAGCCA
rnacentral:lncRNA from 1 species